rnacentral:lncRNA from 1 species
CCAAAUCAUCCAUCAUUAUGACAAGUAUAAUCACAAACAUCUGCUGAGCCAACCCCAUCCAAACUUACAUUUAAAUCUUGACAAAAAAUAACUUCCAAUUGAUUUGGAAGAUUGGUUUCAGUUUUUCCACCAGUUAAAUUGCUCAUUUUAGAUGCUUUUGAGACCUCAUUGCCUUCAAAAUUAAUAACACUUUUUUGCACUGAGAUCAUAUCUCUACAACGAUAACAAUCAC